rnacentral:ncRNA from 1 species
UUUAAUAAUAUGCUAUUAGGUGUUUCGAAAGAAACUUAAAAGGGAAAGUGGUGAAAAUCCACUACAGCCCCCGCUACUGUAAGUGAGGAUGAAAUCAACAUAUGCCACUGGAACUAAGUUCUGGGAAGGCGUUGAGAGUAAUAUGAUUCACAAGUCAGUAGACCUGCCUGGUAGCUUAAAUAACC